rnacentral:rRNA from 1 species
UACGGAGGAUCCAAGCGUUAUCCGGAUUUAUUGGGUUUAAAGGGUGCGUAGGCGGCCUGUUAAGUCAGGGGUGAAAGACGGUAACUCAACUAUCGCAGUGCCCUUGAUACUGAUGGGCUUGAAUUGACUAGAGGUAGGCGGAAUGUGACAAGUAGCGGUGAAAUGCAUAGAUAUGUCACAGAACACCGAUUGCGAAGGCAGCUUACUAUGGUCUUAUUGACGCUGAGGCACGAAAGCGUGGGGAUCAAACAGG